rnacentral:rRNA from 1 species
AUGGCGCUCAUCGAUCGCCAACCAAGGCAACCAGAACCACCCGACAAGCUUCCAGUCGCCAUUCAAAAGGUGCUAGACGACUACAGCGACGUGUUUAGCGAGCCCAAGAAGCUUCCCCCGCACCGGCAGUAUGAUCAUGCGAUUACGCUGGUCGAAGGAGCUCAACCAGCAAAUGCGCGGCCAUAUCGCUACUCACCAUUGCAGAAGGAUGAGAUCGAGCGACAAGUUCGAGAAAUGCUGGAGUCCGGAGUGAUUGAGCACAGCAUGAGCCCCUUCGCUGCUCCAGUACGUCUGGUCAAAAAGAAGGACGGCACGUGGCGCUUUUGUGUGGACUAUCGUCGGCUCAACGACCUCACCGUCAAGAAUCGCUUUCCCCUGCCCAUCAUCGACGAGCUGCUUGACGAGCUCGCCGACGCCAAGUUCUUUUCCAAGAUGGAUCUCCGCGCCGGCUACCACCAGAUUCGUAUGGGGCCGCGCGACGAAGAGAAAACAGCCUUCAAAACUCAUCACGGCCACUUCCACUUCCGUGUCAUGCCAUUCGGGCUGACAAACACGCCAGCCACAUUUCAGUGCCUGAUGAACCAAAUUUUCGCAAGGUACGUUCGUCUAUUUGUCAUCAUCUUCCUUGACGACAUUUUGGUGUUCAGUGACACACUGGAAGAGCACGAGGAGCACCUACGCACCGUCUUCGACUUACUCCGCCAACACCAGCUCUAUGUCAAGCUAUCCAAGUGA